UCAAAGCCGGGCAGCCAUAGUGCUUAGAGACAUGGGUUAGUGAUGGGUUUGGUCAGUGUUGGGUUGAUGGUUGGACUCGAUGAUCUGAAAGGUCCCUUCCAACCCAGGAAUUCUAUGAUUCUCUCACAAGCUCUACCUACUCAUGGCUACUAACAAGGAACCUAGAGGUGGAGACCAAGAAGCUUCUCUUUUUUUGGGGGGAGGGAGGCACCUCAGCGUAAGAUUUGCUCCGUGUAUAUCCCAUUGAAAAUGUGCUGUAUUUGAACUGACUCGAAGAAAAUACUCUCAGCCAGUGGUUAAAAUUAACAGUCAGUGUUUAUGUGAGGUGGGGAAGUGAAAGGAGGUCUCUUGGAGAGUGGUGUUUAGGGCUUGUGCCUUUAAAAAACCUUACCUCAUGACUUCUGGCACUGUAAAGAAAGCACCUGUAGCUGAAGAAAAAUAGGAUUAGAUCUCUCUGUGUGAUUGGACUCUGGGUAGUUCCGCGCUCUGAGUGUGCAGAAAAUGGAUUUAAAUGUUUUUUAGCCCAGGGAGAGGUUUGUCGUAUAUCGAUGGAAUAUUGACAGAUACUUGUUUUCAAAUCAUUAAGAGCCGAAAAAUAUUUUGAAGCUUAAAAAUUACUGAAUUUAAAAAAAAAAGGGUGAAAUUCAAAUUAAUCCUUUUGCAUUAGCAGCGUCCUUUGUAAUAAGUAAAUCUGAUGCUUGCUACUCAUACUGCAAAUAAAGAAAAAAGCAAUUAUAACACUUUUACUAAAGUUUCCUAUCUUCUAGCUGCAAAAAAAAUCAUUUAAAAGUCCAGAUGUUUUCCGAGACUAAUAUUUCAAUUUCCUGUGAUAGGAUGCCACUAUAGGUCAUACUAAAACAUAAAUGUUUUUAACUGUUGCUUUUCUGCUUGUUGAAACUGCUCUCCAUGUACUUGCUGAAUAAUUGAAAAGCAAAUCAUCCCAUCCAGGUAUUUUCAGGACAAAUCUUUGCUGUUGGCACAGCUGUAACUAUAAAAGUCUGAUCUGGCCCCAUUAUCACUCCGUAGGUAACAAUAUUAAAAAAAAUACAAUCAUUUCCAUAAAUGAAAUUGAAGAAGUGAGGCCAGUAAGGAGCGAUUCCCAUCACCUGGUUGUUCUGCUUGUCCUUAUUGAAAUGAUGUUUUGCACCUAAUUAAAAAUAAUCUUUCCGUUCUU